CUACGGGAGGCAGCAGUGAGGAAUAUUGGACAAUGGGGGCAACCCUGAUCCAGCAAUGCCGCGUGUGUGAAGAAGGCCUGCGGGUUGUAAAGCACUUUCAGUAGGGAAGAAAAGCCUGGGGCUAAUACCUCCGGGUCUUGACGUUACCUAAAGAAGAAGCACCGGCUAACUCCGUGCCAGCAGCCGCGGUAAUACGGAGGGUGCGAGCGUUAAUCGGAAUUACUGGGCGUAAAGCGCACGUAGGCGGUCUGGUAAGUCGGAUGUGAAAGCCCCGGGCUUAACCUGGGAAUUGCAUUCGAUACUGCCUGACUGGAGUAUGGGGGAGGGAAGCGGAAUUUCCGGUGUAGCGGUGAAAUGCGUAGAUAUCGGAAGGAACAUCAAUGGCGAAGGCAGCUUCCUGGCCCAAUACUGACGCUGAGGUGCGAAAGCGUGGGGAUCAAACAGGAUUAGAUACCCUAGUAGUCC
rnacentral:rRNA from 1 species